CCUACGGGAGGCAGCAGUGGGGGAUAUUGCACAAUGGAGGGAACUCUGAUGCAGCGACGCCGCGUGAGGGAAGAAGGUUGUCGGAUUGUAAACCUCUGUCUGCGGGGACGAAAAGAGACGGAAGCCGAGGAGGAAGCCACGGCUAACUAGGUGCCAGCAGCCGCGGGAAUACGUAGGGGGCAAGCGUUGUCAGGAAUACCUGGGUGUAAAGGGAGGGUAGGGGGGAAAGCAUGUUGAAUGGAUAAGGUACGGGCUCAUCCUGGACCAGCUUUCUAAACUGUUUUUCUUGAGUGGAGUCGAGGUAAGCGGAAUUCCUAGUGUAGCGGUGAAAUGCGUACAUAUUAGGAGGAACACCAGUGGCGAAGGCGGCUUACUGGGCUUUAACUGACGCUGAGGCUCGAAAGCGUGGGUAGCAAACAGGAUUAGAUACCCUAGUAGUC
rnacentral:rRNA from 1 species